AUUGAACGCUGGCGGCAUGCUUUACACAUGCGAGUCGAACGGCAGCGCGGGGCAACCUGGCGGCGAGUGGCGAACGGGUGAGUAAUAUAUCGGAACGUACCCAGAAGUGGGGGAUAACGUAGCGAAAGUUACGCUAAUACCGCAUACGAUCUACGGAUGAAAGUAGGGGACCGCAAGGCCUUAUGCUUUUGGAGCGGCCGAUAUCUGAUUAGCUAGUUGGUGAGGUAAAGGCUCACCAAGGCGACGAUCAGUAGCUGGUCUGAGAGGACGACCAGCCACACUGGAACUGAGACACGGUCCAGACUCCUACGGGAGGCAGCAGUGGGGAAUUUUGGACAAUGGGCGCAAGCCUGAUCCAGCAAUGCCGCGUGAGUGAAGAAGGCCUUCGGGUUGUAAAGCUCUUUUGCCAGGGAAGAAACGGUAGAGGCUAAUAUCCUUUGCUAAUGACGGUACCUGAAGAAUAAGCACCGGCUAACUACGUG
rnacentral:rRNA from 1 species